rnacentral:RNase_P_RNA from 1 species
CGGUAAGAGCGCACCGCGCCCCCAGCAAUGGGCGGCGGCAGGGCAAACCCCACCGGAAGCAAAGCCGAAUAGGAGUGGCACGUUGGCAACAACAGAUGUUCCCGCAUCCGCCGCUCGGGUUGGCUGCUCGAGGUGAUCAGUAAUGGUCAUCCCAGAUGAAUGGUUACCCCGGUGCAGGAUGCGCCGGACAGAACCCGGCUUACAGGCUGUCUGAAUUU